rnacentral:rRNA from 1 species
GGAGGUUGGGUCUCUCCUUGACAUUAUCAAGCAGGCCUAACACAUGCAAGUCGAACGGUAACAGGAAGCAGCUUGCUGCUUCGCUGACGAGUGGCGGACGGGUGAGUAAUGUCUGGGAAACUGCCUGAUGGAGGGGGAUAACUACUGGAAACGGUAGCUAAUACCGCAUAACGUCGCAAGACCAAAGAGGGGGACCUUCGGGCCUCUUGCCAUCGGAUGUGCCAGAUGGGAUUAGCUAGUAGGUGGGGUAACGGCUCACCUAGGCGACGAUCCCUAGCUGGUCUGAGAGGAUGACCAGCACACUGGAACUGAGACACGGUCCAGACUCCUACGGGAGGCAGCAGUGGGGAAUAUUGCACAAUGGGCGCAAGCCUGAUGCAGCCAUGCCGCGUGUAUGAAGAAGGCCUCGGGUUGUAAAGUACUUUCAGCGGGGAGGAAGGGAGUAAAGUUAAUACCUUUGCUCAUUGACGUUACCCGCAGAAGAAGCACCGGCUAACUCCGUGCCAGCAGCCGCGGUAAUACGGAGGGUGCAAGCGUUAAUCGGAAUACUGGGCGUAAAGCGCACGCAGGCGGUUUGUUAAGUCAGAUGUGAAAUCCCCGGGCUCAACCUGGGAACUGCAUCUGAUACUGGCAAGCUUGAGUCUCGUAGAGGGGGGUAGAAUUCCAGGUGUAGCGGUGAAAUGCGUAGAGAUCUGGAGGAAUACCGGUGGCGAAGGCGGCCCCCUGGACGAAGACUGACGCUCAGGUGCGAAAGCGUGGGGAGCAAACAGGAUUAGAUACCUGGUAGUCCACGCCGUAAACGAUGAUAACUAGCUGUCCGGGGACU